AGUGAACGCUGGCGGUAGGCCUAACACAUGCCAGUCGAACGGCAGCACAGUAAGAGCUUGCUCUUACGGGUGGCGAGUGGCGGACGGGUGAGGAAUACAUCGGAAUCUACUUUUUUGUGGGGGAUAACGUAGGGAAACUUACGCUAAUACCGCAUACGACCUACGGGUGAAAGCAGGGGAUCUUCGGACCUUGCGCGAUUGAAUGAGCCGAUGUCGGAUUAGCUAGUUGGCGGGGUAAAGGCCCACCAAGGCGACGAUCCGUAGCUGGUCUGAGAAGAUGAUCAGCCACACUGGAACUGAGACACGGUCCAGACUCCUACGGGAGGCAGCAGUGGGGAAUAUUGGACAAUGGGCGCAAGCCUGAUCCAGCCAUACCGCGUGGGUGAAGAAGGCCUUCGGGUUGUAAAGCCCUUUUGUUGGGAAAGAAAAGCAGCAGGUUAAUACCCCGCUGUUCUGACGGUACCCAAAGAAUAAGCACCGGCUAACUUCGUG
rnacentral:rRNA from 1 species